rnacentral:rRNA from 1 species
AACGAACGCUGGCGGCAUGCCUAACACAUGCAAGUCGAACGAGACCUUCGGGUCUAGUGGCGCACGGGUGCGUAACGCGUGGGAAUCUACCCUUGGGUUCGGAAUAACAGUUAGAAAUGACUGCUAAUACCGGAUGAUGACGUAAGUCCAAAGAUUUAUCGCCCAAGGAUGAGCCCGCGUAAGAUUAGCGUGUUGGUGGGGUAAUGGCCUACCAAGGCGACGAUCUUUAGCUGGUCUGAGAGGAUGAUCAGCCACACUGGGACUGAGACACGGCCCAGACUCCUACGGGAGGAAGCAGUGGGUAAUAUUGGACAAUGGGCGAAAGCCUGAGCCAGCAAUGCCGCGGGAGUGAUGAAGGCCUUAGGGUUGUAAAGCUCUUUUACCAGGGAUGAUAAUGACAGUACCUGUAGAAUAAGCUCCGGCUAACUCCGUGCCAGCCGCCGCAGUAA